UGAAGAAUUUGUCCAACGGUGGGGGAUAGCCGGCCCAACGGCCGGGUAAUACCGCGUACGCCCUUCGAGCGGCAUCGCUUGAUGGGGAAAGUCGCAAGACGCCGAUGGAGAACUUCGCGGCCUAUCAGCUAGUUGGUGAGGUCAUGGCUCACCAAGGCGACGACGGGUAGCUGAUCCGAGAGGAUGGCCAGCCACAUUGGGACUGAGACACGGCCCAGACUCCGUACGGGAGCAG
rnacentral:rRNA from 1 species